GGGGGAGUAAUAGAUUAGACGUUCUUUAAAACAUUCGUAUGCAUCGCGGAGUAUGGCCGCUGACUCCUUAACCACGGCUAACCAACAACUGCAAAAACAGGUGUUACCUUGAGCGACUAUUUGUCGCUCACUUCAAACAGACAGUUCGCUUUCGCGGUCUGACCUUGGAGUAAUAAAGAAAGCAUGCCCGAGAGGGCUGGUGGAGAUGUUCGAGGAUGUUGCCGGUUCGCAACCGGAUAGGCGACGUAGAUGUACGAAUGUGAUAUUGAUCGGACGAGGGUGCAAAUCCCUUCUCCUCCACUA
rnacentral:tmRNA from 1 species